rnacentral:rRNA from 1 species
GGGUGCGAUCAUACCAGCACUAAUGCACUGGAUCCCAUCAGAACUCCGAAGUUAAGCGUGCUUGGGCGAGAGUAGUACUAGGAUGGGUGACCCCCUGGGAAGUCCUCGUGUUGCACCCC